rnacentral:rRNA from 1 species
GCCAUGCGAGUCAUUGCAGCAAUGCAAGGCAGACGGCUCAGUAACGCGUAGUCAACCUAACCUAUGGACGGAAAUAACCUCGGGAAACUGAGAAUAAUGUCCGAUAGAACACUAUACCUGGAAUGGUUUGUGUUCCAAAUGAUUUAUCGCCGUAGGAUGGGACUGCGGCCUAUCAGUUUGUUGGUGAGGUAAUGGCCCACCAAGACUAUUACAGGUACGGGCUCUGAGAGGAGUAGCCCGGAGAUGGGUACUGAGACACGGACCCAGGCCCUAUGGGGCGCAGCAGGCGAGAAAACUUUGCAAUGUGCGAAAGCACGACAAGGUUAAUCCGAGUGGUUUCUGCUAAAGGAACCUUUUGUUAGUCCUAGAAACACUAACGAAUAAGGGGUGGGCAAGUUCUGGUGUCAGCCGCCGCGGUAAAACCAGCACCUCAAGUGGUCAGGAUGAUUAUUGGGCCUAAAGCAUCCGUAGCCGGCUCUGUAAGUUUUCGGUUAAAUCUGUACGCUCAACGUACAGGCUGCCGGGAAUACUGCAGAGCUAGGGAGUGGGAGAGGUAGACGGUACUCGGGAGGAAGUGGUAAAAUGCUUUGAUCUCUCGAUGACCACCUGUGGCGAAGGCGGUCUACCAGAACACG